rnacentral:rRNA from 1 species
UACGGAGGGUGCGAGCGUUGUCCGGAAUCAUUGGGCGUAAAGGGCGCGUAGGUGGCCCGGUCAGUCUUUGGUGAAAGCGCGGGGCUCAACCCUGCGUCGGCCAGGGAUACUGCCGCGGCUCGAGCACUGUAGAGGCAGGCGGAAUUCCGGGUGUAGCGGUGGAAUGCGCAGAUAUCAGGAGGAACACCGGUGGCGAAGGCGGAUCUCUGGGCCAUUACUGACGCUGAGGAGCGAAAGCGUGGGGAGCGAACAGG